GGCUAGAAGGGAAAUAAGUUAGCCUCUGGGUGCUGCUAUGCUUGCAAGCCAGUGUCUGGGGAGAAGAUGACAUUUCCGGUGGCAUCUGGGGCAAAUGGCAAAAACGAGUCAGCAUUUACUUUCUUGCUUUAGGAAGCGGAAGACUAGUGACCAAAGCUUCAAGACUUUGACAUGUACGAAAACACGAAAUGACCCUCGGCUCUUUUUGUUCUUGCUGGUAUGGUGUGUUCACAGCUGAAAAGGUGGUCAGAAGGGGAAAGGAGGAAGUGAGAAGAAAGAAACAAGGAAAUGGUCAAUGCUUGAGGUAUUUUGCAGACCCUGCAUGUGAUGGAUCAACUGACACCAAUCCAGAUCGAUAAACUGGCUCAUCUGAUCUUGUGGCCCCUACCCUGGAACUGACUCAGUGCAAGAAGACAGCUUCGACUCCUUAUGAUUUCAUCCCUGACCAAUCAGCACUCCUGGCUCACUGGCUUCCCCUAACCCCCCAAAUUUUCCUUAAAAACUCUUUUCUCCAAAUGCUGGUGGAGACUGAUUUGAGUAAUAAUAAACCUCUGGUAUCCUGCACAGUC